GUGUCAGCCGCCGCGGUAAUACGUAGGGGGUUAGCGUUGUCCGGAUUUACUGGGUGUAAAGGGCGCGUAGGCGGGUCUGUAAGUCAGAGGUGAAAUCCUACAGCUUAACUGUAGAGCUGCCUUUGAUACUGCGGAUCUUGAGUUCAGAAGAGAGAGAUGGAAUUCCAGGUGUAGUGGUGAAAUACGUAGAUAUCUGGAAGAACACCAGUGGCGAAGGCGAUCUCUUGGUCUGACACUGACGCUGAGGCGCGAAAGCGUGGGUAGCAAACAGGAUUAGAUACCCUGGUAGUCCACGCUGUAAACGAUGAAUACUAGAUGUUGGGCAGAAAUGUUCAGUGUCGCAGCUAACGCAUUAAGUAUUCCACCUGGGGAGUACGAUCGCAAGGUUGAAACUCAAAGGAAUUGGGCGG
rnacentral:rRNA from 1 species